GUGGGGAAUCUUAGACAAUGGGCGCAAGCCUGAUCUAGCCAUGCCGCGUGAGCGAUGAAGGCCUUAGGGUUGUAAAGCUCUUUCGUGGGGGAAGAUAAUGACUGUACCCCAAGAAGAAGCCCCGGCUAACUCCGUGCCAGCAGCCGCGGUAAUACGGAGGGGGCUAGCGUUGUUCGGAAUUACUGGGCGUAAAGCGCACGUAGGCGGACUGGAAAGUCAGGGGUGAAAUCCCGGGGCUCAACCCCGGAACUGCCUUUGAAACUCCCAGUCUUGAGUGCGAGAGAGGUGAGUGGAAUUCCGAGUGUAGAGGUGAAAUUCGUAGAUAUUCGGAGGAACACCAGUGGCGAAGGCGGCUCACUGGCUCGAUACUGACGCUGAGGUGCGAAAGCGUGGGGAGCAAACAGGAUUAGAAACCCGUGUAGUCC
rnacentral:rRNA from 1 species